rnacentral:rRNA from 1 species
AACGAACGCUGGCGGCAUGCCUAACACAUGCAAGUCGAACGAGACCUUCGGGUCUAGUUGCGCACGGGUGCGUAACGCGUGGGAACCUGCCCUUAGGUUCGGAAUAACUCCCCGAAAGGGGUGCUAAUACCGGAUAAUGUCUUCGGACCAAAGAUUUAUCGCCUUUGGAUGGGCCCGCGUUGGAUUAGCUAGUUGGUAGGGUAAAAGCCUACCAAGGCGACGAUCCAUAGCUGGUCUGAGAGGAUGAUCAGCCACACUGGGACUGAGACACGGCCCAGACUCCUACGGGAGGCAGCAGUGGGGAAUAUUGGACAAUGGGCGAAGGCCUGAUCCAGCAAUGCCGCGUGAGUGAUGAAGGCCUUAGGGUUGUAAAGCUCUUUUACCCGGGAUGAUAAUGACAGUACCGGGAGAAUAAGCUCCGGCUAACUCCGUG